ensembl:lncRNA
GGCAGUUUCUGAUAAACAUCAUUGAAACUUCUGAGCUCAUGUUUUCCAUCUUGCCACCGUAUCUUUUCAAGUGAGUGUCUGCUAGCUCGGCUGCCUCAUUCAACCUGACCCAAUAAUCAACAGGGCGCUCACUUUUCUUUGGCUGCGUGGCAUAAAAGUCGGCCAACGGCUGGCAUGAGCCAGGGCUCUCGCUAAAAUAGCGCCGCAGUACCUCGUAGACAACUUCGGGACAAAGUACAACAACUGGACUACUUUUCAGCUUAACCUUAACAAUGCUCUUUGCCCGACCACAUAGAUGGUUCAGUAUUUCUUCUACGCUAUCAGCUUUGUUGCAACCCUUUUUGGCCAGAUAAACAUUCAUCUGCUCAAUCCACUCUAGUAUGGAGCAUUUGUCGCUACCAUCCCCCCUGAACAUUUGUGGUUCUCUAAUGUCGGUUUUUACUAUCAGGUUUAACUUAGACAAAUCGAGGCUUGUAGACAGGGGUAUGGACCCAGAAAGUUGCUGCUCAACCGAUGGAGAAGAAUCAGGUAAUAGAGAAUUCUGGCUAGUUAACAACCGUGAAACAAUUGAAUCACCAAUCUGGUUUCCAAGCUCGCCAAUGAGGUCGCGCAGCUGCUGUGUAACACUGUCACAACCAACAUUGGCAGGAGUGGAAGACUUUGGUUUAUUUGACUCAUUAUUCGACAUGCCCGAAAUAGUCGCAGAAUCAUACACCAAAACACGCCGCACCACGUGCGUCAAGCACUGCAUGAAUCAUUAAAUCAGAUUUUCUCCCGUAACACUCUACAUUGAAUACAUUCAGUCACUAAAUCUCUUUUCUUUUAUAAAACAGAACCAACAUAAACAACAUACCUGUAAUAAGGAGAAAUAAUCAGUGGAUCAAAAGGCGACCGCUUCUCCCUCUCUGGCACACUAAGCAUAUGAUGCUAAUUAGUUAGCGUCACAACGCACAUCGUUAAGGUCAAAUAACACCUCAAAAUAUACAUUCUCAUCAUAACUAAUACAAUCAAGUACUAGUAUAAAAUAAAUCACAUUCAUCCAGCGAUAAAUACGCAUUUUGGACAAGAAAUAUCAUCAUACCAGAGUCAAUUACGGGGAGAGCUCAAUAAUACAUGUGCUCCUUAGCCUCGCACACAGGUGGACUGAGGCUAUCGCACAUCGCACGCGGGGAAAACCCCGGAUGUGUUCCACUGAUAUAAUUCCCCUCCCCAGACAAAAUCCCAAAGAAAAAGUUCCACGAAUCUAAUAUUAUGUAAUUUUAACUUGCAAACAAUAAUAAAUGAACAAAAUUUCGUGGAGUUCACUAACCCUUUCUUAUUAUGAAACUAAUAGAAUUUAUAGUAGCAUAAACAGAAUAUAUACAUACAAAAAAAAAAAUAAUCCAAUAUAGGAAUUAAAAGAAAGCAAAUUAAAUUGAGUCAAUCAUACACCAGUUACAUUAGCA